GAUGAAGAACGUAGCGAAAUGCGAUACGUAAUGUGAAUUGCAGAAUCCAGUGAAUCAUCGAAUCUUUGAACGCACAUUGCGCCCGCCAGUAUUCUGGCGGGCAUGCCUGUCCGAGCGUCAUUAUAACCACUCAAGCUCUCGCUUGGUAUUGGAGUUCGCGAUCUCGCGGCUCCUAAAAUCAGUGGCGGUGCCUGUCGGCUCUACGCGUAGUAAUACUCCUCGCGAUUGAGUCCGGUAGGUUUACUUGCCAGCAACCCCCAAUUUUUACAGGUUGACCUCGGAUCAGGUAGGGAUACCCGCUGAACUUAAGCAUAUCAAUAAGCGGAGGA
rnacentral:misc_RNA from 1 species